CCGAGUUGACACCGGUCCAACCACCGGGAUGAUCAUAACCCUUGUGUCCGACUCUGUUGCCUCGGCGGAUCGACCCUGCCCUUAGGGACGGGGCCCUCCGAGGGACCCCUCAAACUCUGGUUUAAGUUGACAGUCUGAGUAAACUAACUAAUAAAUUCA
rnacentral:misc_RNA from 1 species